GUGUCCCUCGGUCUUCUUCGUUUCAGCCUCCUCCCACUUGCUACUACUGCUACUCAUUUCCCACACUUGGUUUGGUUUCCUCGUUUACCUCGGCAAGCAUGGGCUCCGAGUUCCCCGACGUGGCCGGAGAGGAGCCCUUCUGUGUGUUCAUCGGUUACGACCCCCGUGAGGACGUGGCCUACCAGGUCUGCCGCCGCUCUCUCCUCCGCCGCUCCUCCGUGCCCCUGUCCGUCCACCCCAUCCGACAGGCUGACCUCCGCGCCGCCGGCCUCUAUUGGCGACCCCGCGGCCCCACCGAGAGCACCGAGUUCUCCUUCACCCGCUUCCUCACCCCCUACCUCGCCGGCCACCGCGGCUGGGCCCUCUUCGUCGACUGCGACUUCCUCUUCCUGCACGACCCCGCCGCUCUCUUCGCCCUCCGUGACCCCAGCUUCGCCGUCAUGUGCGUCCACCACGACUACGCCCCUUCCGAGACCACCAAGAUGGACGGCGCCGUCCAGACCGUUUACCCCCGCAAAAACUGGUCCUCCCUCGUCCUCUAUAACUGCGCCCACCGCAAGAACGUCGCCGCCCUCACCCCCGACGCCGUUAGCACCCAGUCCGGCGCCUUCCUCCACCGCUUCAUGUGGCUCGACGAUGCCGAGAUCGGCGAGAUCCCCUUCGUAUGGAACUUCCUCGUCGGGCACAACAAGGUCGACCCCGCCGAUCCCGACAACACCGCGCCCAAGGCCAUCCACUACACCUCCGGCGGGCCUUGGUUCGAGCGCUACAAGGACUGCGAGUUCGCCGACCUCUGGAUCAACGAGUUGGAGGAAUCGAACGCCGAGAAGGCUGCCGAGGAUGAGAAGAAGAAAGGUUCCGCAAAGAAUAAUUAGAUGGAAAGGGAGAUGCUCCCAGAUCUGGUGGAAGGUAGUAGCAUUCAGGACAACGGUGUCGAUGUGGCGACGUCUCUCGGCGGAGCCUGCUCAAAUUCGGUGCUCUAUUACUGCCCAAAUCAACUUGAAGUUCCUUUCAUCUCACGCCGCGCAGGUGUUUGUGAAAAGACUACGCAAGAUCAAAGGUCUCAAGAUUCAACUAUUCUCCCAUCAGAGGCAAAACAACAGAGUGAGGACUUCAUCCCCCAGCAAGUCAUCAAUAGAACCAAUUGUUCAUGACUUAUAUGUGAUAGAAGAUAUGCUCAAAUUAUGAAAAAAAACAAAUCAAGAAAAGUAUUAAUAAAUAAAAAAAUUUAUGUGGUUCCAUAGACUUUGCUUACGUUAAGUGAUAGUAAACUAUAUUAUUCAUUGUGUGAGAAUAAUCACAGUAAUAGAUAAAUUCUCUCUUGACUUAGAAGUCCUUGGUUUAAACUCAGUAGCAAGACAGUUUAAAACUCAUUAGAAGUCUUUCGAAGUGCAUCUUUAUACAAUAUUCGAUCCUUAAUUUCCAAAAAAAAUCUUUUUUUAAGCAAAAGACUUAAAACAUGAAAUCUUCUUUAUUGAUCAAGCAAAGGCCAAGAGUAAAUACUUCAACUCCUCGCAAACCUAUAAAAUUAAACAAACACAAGAACAAGUCCAAGUCAGCUAGGGAGAUUAUAAUCCUCCUUCGGCUAAAUGAUGGACACCCAAGAACAAAAAACUUGAUCUUUUUCUUUUGCCAAAUAGACCACAGAUCAGCAGUCUAACAUUGGAAAAAGGGACAUGAGGGGCAUCACCAUUUCCAUGUUCCAGUGAGCAGAUUAUGAGAAACAUUAUAUUCCAUGCAGCUGAGAUUAUUAUCUGGAGAGGAUUCUUCCACGUUUCCUGUCCUCCUGGUUAGUCCACCAACCACUUCACAGGUGACACCUACCACCCUCAGUUUCAUUAUUUUCUUCAGUGGGCUACAAGUAUACAUAUCAAUGUUUUAUUCCUUCAUGAACUUUCCUUCUCUGUUCCAAGCACCUUCUGUGGAUAAAGUGAAAGCUUAAGAUGUCAUCAGAUACGCAACAAGGUUGCUUUGUAGACCAAAUUAAGGACAAAUCUUGCAUGUGAAAGAUCACAUGCAAGGUUAAAAAAUUAAACGGUCCAAUGCAUCCCCAGCACAUGUAAAGUGGCACUUGAUCUUUUGGCAGGUGGUGCAGUUUCAACAAGCAGUGCUUUGAAGCCCAUGCAUGAAGGAUUUGAUGAACAAGGAGACCUACCAACAUAAUGACAUUAUCAGCUGGAAAAACCCUGUUGGUGCAAGAAGAAAGUCGGUAGUCUACAUCACGUCAUGAAGGAGAGCCACCAGACAUUGGGGCCAUCCAUGUAUCUACCCUCACAAAACUGUGAGUGAUUCCUCAUCGGUAAAAAGUAUGUGCCAUCCAUAUUUUUAGACUUUGAACCAAGAAACAACAAAACAUAGUAUAUGUUUUCACCCAGAAAAUGAGAACUUUAGACUCCUUUGUUGUCCUCA